rnacentral:rRNA from 1 species
UACGUAGGGAGCAAGCGUUGUUCGGAUUUACUGGGCGUAAAGGGCGCGUAGGCGGCGCGGUAAGUCACUUGUGAAAUCUCUGAGCUUAACUCAGAACGGCCAAGUGAUACUGCAGUGCUAGAGUGCAGAAGGGGCAAUCGGAAUUCUUGGUGUAGCGGUGAAAUGCGUAGAUAUCAAGAGGAACACCUGAGGUGAAGACGGGUUGCUGGGCUGACACUGACGCUGAGGCGCGAAAGCCAGGGGAGCAAACGGGAUUAGAUACCCAGUAGUCC